CCGCAGACAGCGGGCUGCGCCGUUCGUGUCCACGCAGCCCGCUUUGACGAAAUCGUGUUUAGUGCAAAUGAUUUUGUUUUUAUGGCGCUCAUAUUACUACAAGUGUUGGUGUUGGGUGUGAUCGCGGCUGCCGUCGACGAUGUCCCGGUAACAUGGUCACCGAGCCCCCGGAGCGCGGUGCUGGCCUGCGAGGUGGCGGAGUGGCCGCGCGUGCAGGCGCGCCGCCCGCCCCCACCACUCGACGACGAGCGCCCGCCCUGGCCAGUGGCCGCUUGGCGGAAAGGAGAUAGGGAGUUCUCGUACAAACGGGUCUCCGAAAACAAUAAUUUGGAAGUGCGCAAGAAUGGUGGUGGUGAUGGCAUCUACCAGUGCAAAGUGCGUCACCACGAGGGCGCGGUGCUCGGGUACCCAGUUAACCUUAAGUUUUCAUAUAUGGACAAACAGUUCACAUCACAACCUGAUGAUGUAACGGCGAAGCUGGGACAGCCCCUCGUGAUACCCUGCAGCAUCGGUUCAGGUCCACCCGCUGUAAUUACUUGGAAGAAAAAUGGAGAAACACUCCCUGAUAAUCCUAGAUAUCAUCAGCUAGCGCACGAGCUGUUGAUCACAGAUGUAACGAGAGAGGAUGCUGGAGUGUACAAAUGUAUAGCGACAAAUACAAAUGCGGAUAAGACCAAAUACAGUCGACCGGGUCGCGUGGAAGUCCAGGAGUCCGCAGAGGAGGAACCGGCUCUAUUACCAGUGCAUCACGAGAGCCAAGUGGCCAGGCCUCGUUGGAGUAACCUGAAGCUCGCGUGCCCGGUCACGGGGUGGCCCAGAACUAAAUUAAUCUGGGAGCUGACACCCCCCGGCGGGCGGACGGGCGAGCUGGAGAGCGGCGAGGAGGUGCUGCAGCUGCUAAGGCUGGACGACGACCAGGUCGGCCUCUACUCCUGCUCGGUGGAGGGGCGCAGCGAUAUUGUCAAGACAUUCAACGUGUCAUACACGGAGCCGGUGACGAUAGCGCUGCCGCCCGUGUCCAAAGAGGCGAUGCGGGCCAGCACCGUGCGUUUCAACUGCACGGCGAGAGGCACGCCGGAACCGAAGAUCACGUGGUACAAGGACGCUGAGCUGCUGCAGGUGGCUGGAAGGAUAAAUUUGCGAACAUCAGCCGACCGCACGCGCAUCGAGUUAGUUAUCAGUGGUGUUACUUCCGACGAUGCAGGCGUGUACCAAUGUUUCGCGUGGAACGGCGUGUCCGUGGCGUCCCAGUGGGGCGAGCUGAACGUGACCGGCCCCGGGGCGGCGGCGCCGCAGAGCGUGCGGUGCGCGCCCGCCGGGGCCGCCGCCGUGGCGCUCCGCUGGCGCCCCGCCGCCGCGCAGGUCAUCGCCUACACUGUGGACUUCGCGCCGAGAGACAAGCCGGGCACGGUGCGCACGGCGCAGCCGCACACCGACACGCAGGAGACGGUGCGGGUGCCGGAGCCGCUCACGCCGUACCAGUUCCAGGUGCGCGCGUACAUUCCGCUGCCGACCAAAAAGAACGUGGCCAGCGACAUGUCCGAGGGCGUCGUGUGCAUGGGCCAGGGGGUGCCAAUCAAGCUACUGAAACAAGAUGAUGGUAUACUAGUAUCUUGGAGGCAGUUCGCGUUUAGCACGCCCGGCGUUCUGCAGUGGAUCCUGCAGCUCGCCAAUGACACGUCACCCAGUGGUCACGUGACCAACGUCACGCUGGACGGAGAGGUGUACAAUUAUACUAUUCAAGAACCCUCCACCCGCCAAUACGUUCGCGUCCUGGGCUCGCGAACUCUGGAGUGGCUCCCGCAGAACCUCUCGCUGGUGGAGUGGACCAGCACGGACACCGCCGGCCAGGAGCUGGACGACUGGGAGGCAACAGCGAUCCCGUACGAGCUGGAAGCGCGCGACGUGUCGGAGCACGGGUUCACGCUGCAGUGGCGCUGCGACGCCGCGCCCGCCGCCUUCCUCGUGUGCGUGCGCCGCAGCGGCGGGGACGACGAGUGCCAGGAGAGCCACAAGCCGAGCGCCACGGUGGAGGGCCUGCAGCCGGACAGCGAGUACGAGGUGCGCGUGCGCGUGCGCGCCGCCGCCGCCGCCUCCGCGCCCUACCGCCUGCGCACCGCGCCCGCGGGUGAGGGCCCGUCGCGUUUCGAAGAGCUGCGGUACGAGAUAGUGAACGCGAGCGCCGUGCGCGUGCGCUGGGGCGGGCCGCGCGGCAACUACACCGUGCGGCACAGCGCGCGCCUGCGCCUGCCCGUCGAGCUGUGGGCCGCGCUGCACACCGCCGGCAACAGCGCCCUGAUCAACGGCAUAGAUCCAACGGAACCGACGUACGUGAUAGUGACGGGCUACUCGCCGUACGCGCACAGCCCCGUGCUCACCAUACCCGCGCAGGGAGUCGAAUUGGAUUCGAAGGACCUGCAGUACGAGUACACGAGCGCGGGCGUGCGCGUGUUCUGGAACAGUGCUGGCCCCAGAGAGGUGCGGUUUGCGCAGAACAUCACACAACCGCUGGAGACCUGGAGGGCUAUUAACGUUACGGACUCUAGUGUUGAGUUAACGGACCUAGAUACAAAGUCAGCAGUGUACGUGAUGGUGUCUCUGCCGGGUGUGAACAAGCGGAAACAGGUGCUGAACAUACCUCCGAACCCAAACAAUAACUUCGGCUUCCAUCUAGCGUCAAUGUAUUCAGGCAUCGGGUUGGGAGUCUGCUUUUGUGUGAUGUGCGUGCUGGCCGCCAUCUUUGUGUGUGUCUGGAGGAAACGGAAGCUGAGGAAUCGUACGCCUGUGCGGGCGCGACGACCGACCACGUCACCGGGUAAUGCGGAGGAGGAGGGAUCUGAAAUGAGGAUGUUAUGACAUCCGCAGGGCGUGGCGCCGCGCGCCAACGGCACCGAGCCGCUGCUCAACGGGCACGUGCACGCGCACUCCAAAACGCCCAACGGCAAAAUGAGAAAGGGCCGGCGCGCGGACGCGUUCGACGCGUUCG
rnacentral:misc_RNA from 1 species